GACGAACGCUGGCGGCGUGCUUAAUACAUGCAAGUCAACUGAACUUAGGAUAGCAAUAUUUUAAGGGAGGUGGCGCACGGGUGAGUAACACGUAGGUAACCUGCCUUUAGGUCUGACAUAACCUACCGAAAGGUAGGCUAAAAUCAGAUGAUGCAGCGGCUCGACAUCGAGACAGUUGUUAAAUCUUCGGAGCCUAAAGAUGAGCCUGCGUCUGAUUAGGUAGUUGGCGGUGUAAUGGACCACCAAGCCUGCGAUCAGUAGCUGGUCUGAGAGGAUGAUCAGCCACACUGGAACUGAGACACGGUCCAGACUCCUACGGGAGGCAGCAGUAAGGAAUAUUGCUCAAUGGCCGAAGG
rnacentral:rRNA from 1 species